rnacentral:rRNA from 1 species
CAGGGAAUCUUGCGCAAUGGGCGAAAGCCUGACGCAGCGACGCCGCGUGCGGGAUGAAGGCCUUCGGGUUGUAAACCGCUUUCAGCAGGGACGAAAUUGACGGUACCUGCAGAAGAAGCCCCGGCCAACUACGUGCCAGCAGCCGCGGUAAUACGUAGGGGGCAAGCGUUGUCCGGAUUUAUUGGGCGUAAAGGGCUCGUAGGCGGCUUGCUAAGUCGGGUGUGAAAUCUCCAGGCUCAACCUGGAGCGGUCACUCGAUACUGGCAUGGCUUGAGUCCGGUAGGGGACCACGGAAUUCCACGUGUAGCGGUGAAAUGCGCAGAUAUGUGGAGGAACACCGGUGGCGAAGGCGGUGGUCUGGGCCGGAACUGACGCUGAGGAGCGAAAGCGUGGGUAGCAAACAG